rnacentral:rRNA from 1 species
UACGUAGGGGGCUAGCGUUGUCCGGAAUCAUUGGGCGUAAAGAGCGUGUAGGCGGUCCGGUAAGUCCGCUGUGAAAGUCGGGGGCUCAACCCUCGAAUGCCGGUGGAUACUGUCGGGCUAGAGUGCGGAAGGGGCGAGUGGAAUUCCUGGUGUAGCGGUGAAAUGCGCAGAUAUCAGGAGGAACACCUAUUGCGAAGGCAGCUCGCUGGGACGUAACUGACGCUGAGGCGCGAAAGCCAGGGGAGCAAACGGG